rnacentral:rRNA from 1 species
AGUCGAGGGGCAGCGCAGGUAGCAAUACUGGGCGGCGACCGGCAAACGGGUGCGGAACACGUACGCAACCUUCCUUUAAGUGGAGAAUAGCCCAGGGAAACUUGGAUUAAUACUCCGUAACAUUAUGAGAUGGCAUCGUCUUAUAAUUAAAGCUACGGCGCUUAAAGAUGGGCGUGCGGCUGAUUAGGUAGUUGGCGGGGUAACAGCCCACCAAGCCUACGAUCAGUAACUGGUGUGAGAGCACGACCAGUCACACGGGCACUGAGACACGGGCCCGACUCCUACGGGAGGCAGCAGUAAGGAAUAUUGGUCAAUGGACGCAAGUCUGAACCAGCCAUGCCGCGUGGAGGAUGAAGGCCCUCUGGGUUGUAAACUUCUUUUAUUUGGGAAGAAACCCAUCUUUUCUAAGGUGGUUGACGGUACCAGAUGAAUAAGCACCGGCUAACUCCGUGCCAGCAGCCGCGGUAAUACGGAGGGUGCAAGCGUUAUCCGGAUUCACUGGGUUUAAAGGGUGCGUAGGUGGGCAGGUAAGUCAGUGGUGAAAUCUCCGGGCUUAACCCGGAAACUGCCGUUGAUACUAUCUGUCUUGAAUAUCGUGGAGGUGAGCGGAAUAUGUCAUGUAGCGGUGAAAUGCUUAGAUAUGACAUAGAACACCAAUUGCGAAGGCAGCUCGCUACACGGUUAUUGACACUGAGGCACGAAAGCGU